rnacentral:rRNA from 1 species
UACGUAGGGUGCAAGCGUUGUCCGGAAUUAUUGGGCGUAAAGAGCUCGUAGGCGGUCUGUCGCGUCGGCUGUGAAAACCCGAGGCUCAACCUCGGGCCUGCAGUCGAUACGGGCAAACUAGAGUACUGCAGGGGAGUCUGGAAUUCCUGGUGUAGCGGUGAAAUGCGCAGAUAUCAGGAGGAACACCAGUGGCGAAGGCGGGUCUCUGGGCAGUAACUGACGCUGAGGAGCGAAAGCGUGGGGAGCGAACAGG